CCUACGUGUGGCAGCAGUCGAGAAUCAUUCACAAUGGGCGAAACCCUGAUGGUGCGACGCCGCGUGGGGGAAUGAAGGUCUUCGGAUUGUAAACCCCUGUCAUGUGGGAGCAAAUUAAAAAGAUAGUACCACAAGAGGAAGAGCCGGCUAAAUCUGUGCCAGCAGCCGCGGUAAUACAGAGGUCUCAAGCGUUGUUCGGAAUCACUGGGCGUAAGGCGUUCGUAGGCUGUUUCGUAAGUCGUGUGUGAAAUGUGCGGGCUCAACCCGCGGACGGCACAUGAAACUGGGAGACUAGAGUAAUGGAGGGGGAACCGGAAUUCUCGGUGUAGCAGUGAAAUGCGUAGAUAUCGAGAGGAACACUCGUGGCGAAGGCGGGUUCCUGGACAUUAACUGACGCUGAGGCACGAAGGCCAGGGGAGCGAAAGGGAUUAGAUACCCCUGUAGUC
rnacentral:rRNA from 1 species